GCACUGCUGACAAGUUGCACAAUAAAACGAAACGGCCGUCCAGUAC
rnacentral:hammerhead_ribozyme from 1 species